AACGAACGCUGGCGGUAUGCUUAACACAUGCAAGUCGAACGGGUGUAGCAAUACAUCAGUGGCAAACGGGUGAGUAAUACAGAGGAAUCUACCUAGCAGUAAGGAAUAACUUUGGGAAACCAAAGCUAAUGCCAUAUAUUACCCUUCGGGGGAAAGAUUUAUCGCUGUUAGAUGAGCCUCUGCCGGAUUAGCUAGUUGGUAGGGUAAUGGCCUACCAAGGCGAUGAUCCGUAGCUGGUCUGAGAGGAUGAUCAGCCACACUGGAACUGAGACACGGUCCAGACUCCUACGGGAGGCAGCAGUGGGGAAUAUUGGACAAUGGGCGCAAGCCUGAUCCAGCAAUACCGCGUGAGUGAUGAAGGUCUUCGGAUUGUAAAGCUCUUUUAGUGGAGAAGAUAAUGACGGUAUCCACAGAAAAAGCACCGGCAAACUUCGUGCCAGCCGCCGCCGUAAAAC
rnacentral:rRNA from 1 species